CGGCGUGCUUAACACAUGCAAGUCGAACGCGAAAGGGGACUUCGGUCCUGAGUAAAGUGGCGCACGGGUGAGUAACGCGUAGAUAACCUGUCUUCAUGUCUGGAAUAAUACGCCGAAAGGGGUACUAAUACCGGAUAUUCUUGCUUUUCAUAAGUUAUGCAAGCAAAGGUGGCCUCUGCAUAUGCUACUGCAUGAAGAGGGGUCUGCGUACCAUUAGCUAGUAGGUGGGGUAAUGGCCUACCUAGGCGACGAUGGUUAGCGGGUCUGAGAGGAUGAUCCGCCACACUGGCACUGGAACACGGGCCAGACUCCUACGGGAGGCAGCAGUGAGGAAUAUUGCGCAAUGGGGGAAACCCUGACGCAGCGACGCCGCGUGAGUGAAGGAAGGCCUUCGGGUCGUAAAGCUCUGUCAAGAGGAAAGAAGUGUACAAUGGCUAAUACCUGUUGUAUUUGACGGUACCUCUAAAGGAAGCACCGGCUAACUCCGUGCCAGCCGCAGC
rnacentral:rRNA from 1 species